UGCAAUGGUAUUGUGCUGUGAUCAGUAAGU
rnacentral:piRNA from 1 species